AGAGUUUGAUCCUGGCUCAGGAUAAACGCUGGCGGCGUGCAUUACCAAUGCGAGUCGGACGGGCGCCUCUUUCGGGGGGCGCCAGUGGCGGACGGGUGCGUAACACGUGGGUGACCUGCCCGGAGGUGGGGGAUACCCGCCCGAAAGGGCGGCUAAUACCGCAUGGGGUUGCCGGCGCGCGAGCGACCGGGGACCAAAGCUCCUCCGCGAGGGGGAGCGCGUCCGGAGGGGCCCGCGGCCUAUCAGCUGGUCGGUGGGGUAACGGCCUACCGAGGCGGCGACGGGUAGCCGGUCUGAGAGGACGAACGGCCACAGUGGGACUGGAACAUGGUCCACAGCCCUACGGGGUUUAGCAUGGAGGAAUCUUGCGCAACGGCGGGGACGCCGGCGCAGCAACGCCGCGUGGAGGACGACGGCUCUCGGGUCGUAAACUCCUGUUGCUCGGGAAGAAGUACCCUUGGGGAGAGCCCGGGGGGAAGACGGUACCGGGCGAGGAAGCCCCGGCUAACUACGUGCCAGCAGCCGCGGUAAUAC
rnacentral:rRNA from 1 species